rnacentral:rRNA from 1 species
UACGGGGGGGGCAAGCGUUGUUCGGAAUUACUGGGCGUAAAGCGCGCGCAGGCGGUUUUUCAAGUCAGGGGUGAAAGCCCGGAGCUCAACUCCGGAACUGCCAUUGAAACUGUGAAACUUGAGGAUGAGAGAGGUGAGUGGAAUUCCCAGUGUAGAGGUGAAAUUCGUAGAUAUUGGGAAGAACACCGGUGGCGAAGGGGGCUCACUGGCUCAUUUCUGACGCUCAGGCGCGACAGCGUGGGGAUCAAACAGG